rnacentral:rRNA from 1 species
AUUGAACGCUGGCGGCAGGCCUAACACAUGCAAGUCGAACGAGUGGCGGACGGGUGAGUAAUGUCUGGGAAACUGCAUGAUGGAGGGGGCUAACUACUGGAACCGGUAGCUAAUACAGCAUCCCAUCGGCUGUGCCCAGCUGGGAUUAGCUAGUAGGUGGGGUAAAGGCUCACCUAGGCGACGAUCCCUAGCUGGUCUGAGAGGAUGACCAGCCAAACGUGAACGUAGACACGGUCCAGCCUCCUAGGGGAGGCAGCAGUGGGGAAUAUUGUACGAUGGGCGCAAGCCUGGUGCAGCCAUGCCGCGUGUAUGAAGAAGGCCUGAGGGUUGUAAAGUACUUUCAGCGGUGAGGCGUUACCCGCAGAAGAAGCACCUGCUAACUCCGGGCCAGCGGCCGCGGUAAUAC